UAAUCGGAAUGACUCAAAAUUUAUCUAUGCCAACGCACGCCAAGAACAGACACGAGAACAGAAUUAAAUAAGAGUCCUCCACGACGCAGUAGUCUAAAAUUCUCAUAUAAAUUUAGUUUUUUUUAUGUCGGUACAGGCCACUGCGUUAUGGACGUUCCAUACAAAGUAAGAGGCCACAUGACCGUUAAAAAAAU